rnacentral:rRNA from 1 species
AGAGUUUGAUCCUGGCUCAGGACGAACGCUGGCGGCGUGCUUAACACAUGCAAGUCGAACGGAAAGGCCCCUUCGGGGGUGCUCGAGUGGCGAACGGGUGAGUAACACGUGGGUGAUCUGCCCUGCACUUUGGGAUAAGCCUGGGAAACUGGGUCUAAUACCGGAUAGGACUACGCGAUGCAUGUCGUGUGGUGGAAAGCUUUGGCGGUGUGGGAUGGGCCCGCGGCCUAUCAGCUUGUUGGUGGGGUGAUGGCCUACCAAGGCGACGACGGGUAGCCGGCCUGAGAGGGUGUCCGGCCACACUGGGACUGAGAUACGGCCCAGACUCCUACGGGAGGCAGCAGUGGGGAAUAUUGCACAAUGGGCGCAAGCCUGAUGCAGCGACGCCGCGUGAGGGAUGACGGCCUUCGGGUUGUAAACCUCUUUCAGUAUCGACGAAGCGCAAGUGACGGUAGAUACAGAAGAAGCACCGGCCAACUACGUGCCAGCAGCGGCGGUAAUAC